UCAUUCAAACAACAACAAAAGGUAAGUCUUUGGAAGGAUAAGACCCAAACAUGUAUACUUGUAAUUACAACCAUCUGAUAUUUGAAAAAGAGGCAAAAGAGAAACAAAGGAGAGAAGAGAGUGUUUUCAACAAAUUAUGCUGUAAGAACUGUCUACAUGCAGCAGAAGAAAAUUAGGCCUAUAUCUAACUCCAAGUAGAUCAAAGACCUCAACUUGAAUCCUGAAACA
rnacentral:lncRNA from 1 species